rnacentral:tRNA from 1 species
UGGCUCAGUGGUAGAGCGCUUGCCUUGCAUGCUUGAGGCCCUGGGUUUGAUUCCCCAG